UUGUCCCUACGGGACGCAGCAGUGAGGAAUAUUGGUCAAUGGGCGCAGGCCCGAACCAGCCACGUAGCGUGAAGGAUGACUGCCCUAUGGGUUGUAAACUUCUUUUAUAUGGGAAUAAAGUUUUCCACGUGUGGAAUUUUGUAUGUACCAUAUGAAUAAGGAUCGGCUAACUCCGUGCCAGCAGCCGCGGUAAUACGGAGGAUCCGAGCGUUAUCCGGAUUUAUUGGGUUUAAAGGGAGCGUAGGUGGACAGUUAAGUCAGUUGUGAAAGUUUGCGGCGCAACCGUAAAAUUGCAGUUGAUACUG
rnacentral:rRNA from 1 species